UUUAAGCAUAUAAGUAAGCGGAGGACAAGAAACUAAAUAGGAUUCCCCUAGUAAUGGCGAAUGAACAGGGAUGAGCUCAGCAUGGAAAUUGGGGUCUCCCGACCUUGAAUUGUAGUCUUGAGAUGUACUGCCAACGGAGGCGCAGAUGUAAGCCUCUUGGAAAAGAGCAUCAACGAGGGUGAGAGUCCCGUUUGUCAUCUGCAGUCCCCCGUGCACGGUGUACCUUCUAAGAGUCACGUUCCUCGGGAUUGGAGCGCAAAGUGGGUGGUAAAUUUCAUCUAAAGCUAAAUAUUGGUUCGAGACCGAUAGCAAACAAGUACCAUGAGGGAAAGGUGAAAAGGACUUUGAAAAGAGAGUUAAAAGUGCCUGAAAUUGCUGAAAGGGAAGCGAAUGGAACCAGUGUUCUUGGUGAGAUUGUUGCGUACUCUGGUGAUUGCUGGGUGUUCCACCGCAAGGGGGGCAUUUGGUUUUGAUCUAGAUGUGCGUGGUGUUUCUUGCCUUGUGUGUCACCGUCGGUGCACGAGCGAGUAAAACUCCAAGGACAUGGAAACUCGACCAUGGUUGAGUGAAUAUCUUUGGCAGUACUCAUUUGUGUAUCGAUCCCUGCGUGUCUGGUUGCAGUGUUUGGUUCGCUUGGAAUGUUCUUCUAGGAUUCGUCCUUGGAGACGUUUUGGGCGCCCUGAGCAUCUCCCUGACACAAAGACGAUGACUAAAUGGUUUUAUUCGACCCGUCUUGAA
rnacentral:rRNA from 1 species